GACGAACGCUGGCGGCGUGCCUAAUACAUGCAAGUUGAGCGCUGAAGAUUGGUACUUGUACCGAUUGGAUGAGCAGCGAACGGGCGAGUAACGCGUGGGGAAUCUGCCUUUGAGCGGGGGACAACAUUUGGAAACGAAUGCUAAUACCGCAUAAUAGCUUUAAACAUAAGUUUUAAGUUUGAAAGAUGCAAUUGCAUCACUCAAAGAUGAUCCCGCGUUGUAUUAGCUAGUUGGUGAGGUAAAGGCUCACCAAGGCGAUGAUACAUAGCCGACCUGAGAGGGUGAUCGGCCACAUUGGGACUGAGACACGGCCCAAACUCCUACGGGAGGCAGCAGUAGGGAAUCUUCGGCAAUGGACGAAAGUCUGACCGAGCAACGCCGCGUGAGUGAAGAAGGUUUUCGGAUCGUAAAACUCUGUUGUUAGAGAAGAACGACGAGGAGAGUGGAAAGCUCCUCGUGUGACGGUAUCUAACCAGAAAGGGACGGCUAACUACGUGCCAGCCGCCGCGGUAA
rnacentral:rRNA from 1 species